rnacentral:lncRNA from 1 species
CUAGAUGUCGCCUGCCAAAUGCAAUGACCUGUUGAUGGAGUAGUACCUGGGAGACAAUGAAGACCUCCACACCCUCCAAGUCCAAUUACAGAAGAUAAUGGACUUCUUGUUCAUGAUCUCUGAACACCAAAUAGUACAUUAUCAUUACUCUGAGGACCAUAUUGACAUCAAUAAUUGCACAACUGCAAGGAGGUUUAACUCCCAACCUUUCUUGAGGUCUUUCUUGAGAAUGGAACUAGAAGACAGAGGGGCUCAGGAUAAUUCAGAAUCUCCUAGAGGCACCUAAGACCUAGGAGUUCCCUGGAUCAGCCAGCCCUAAUUUCACAUCUUU